GACACCGUUUAACACUAACAACGACGACACCGUUUGGGUCUUGAGUACCUCUCGACUACAGCUCCCACAUGUAGACUCUGAACUGCACUCCCCUCCAGCUUGCUACGAGUCUUCCCUUCUGGCAGUAUCUUACCAUUGCUAUUCCCUAUUUAGGUGCUUCUCUGGGCACCGUUUGGUGACUGUAGCAUAGGCUAUGUAGGUUCCACCUGACGCUUCUCUGUUGUUUCCUUUUCUGGUUUGCUCCGUUUGGUAGCAAUAAAAUUACAGUCCAAUCACUGUAGUGCGAUGGCAAAAUUGCAUGAAACUCUAAAACCCAUUUUGUCAAUCCCGUUUUCUCGUUUAGACUAUUCUAUGUACAUGAAGAUGUUGCAGGUUUGCAUGGACGCAAAGGCUGAAAGAUGCGGUCGUUUGAUUCAUAACCAACUAAUAACAAGUGGGUUUGAUUCAAAUGUACACUUAAAUACAAAACUGAUAAUAUUCUAUUCGAAAUUUGGCCACAUGGACACAGCUCGUAACUUGUUCGAUAAAAUGCGUGACAGAAAUUUAGUGUCCUGGACUGCUAUGAUUUCUGGGUUUACACAAAAUGGGUAUUAUGAAAAUGCUUUGAUGAUGUUUUCGGCAAUGCGUGGGGUGGGUGUCAAGGCCAACCAGUUCACCUAUGCGAGUGUGUUGAAGGCGUGUACUAGUAUGAGGUGUUUGGAGGUGGGGAUGCAAGUACAUGGCUGCAUACACAAGAGUAGGUUUGUGGACAAUUUGUUUGUGCAGAGUGCAUUGGUUGACUUGCACUCGAAAUGUGGGGAAAUGGAAGACGCUUGCAAGUGCUUCGAAAUGAUGGCGGAGAGGGAUGUAGUUUCUUGGAAUGCAAUGAUUGGUGGAUAUGCUGUACAGGGAUUUGCCGAUGAGUCAUUUCAAAUGUUUCGUUCAAUGAUGAGAGAAGGACUGAUUCCUGAUGGCUUCACCUUGGGAAGCGUCUUGAGAGCCUGUGCUACUCACAGUAGUCUCAUGAAGAUCAACCAGACACAUGGGUUAAUUAUCCAUUUGGGUUUUGGAUCACAAAAUGCUCUGAUUGGAUCAUUGAUUGGUGCUUAUGCAAAAUGUGGAAGAGUAGGAAGUGCUUAUCACUUAUACAAGAGUUUGCCAACUAAAGAUAUUAUAUCUUGUACUUCACUGAUAGUUGGAUUUGCACACGAAGCUAACCAUAGCGGAGAUGCCCUGAGACUCUUCAAGGAAGUAAUUCAAAUGCACAUUGAAAUGGAUGAAGUUAUAUUUUGCUCCAUGCUUAAUAUAUGUGCAAAUAUAUCAUCACUAAGCUUUGGAAGACAAGUCCAUGCUGUUGUUUCAAAAGUUCAAUCCUGUUAUGAUGUGGCCAUGGGCAAUGCCCUUGUUGAUAUGUAUGCAAAAUGUGGAGGAAUUGAAGAUGCGAAGCAUGCUUUUGAUGAGAUGGAGGAGAAAAAUGUGAUUUCAUGGACAUCACUUAUUGCCGGAUAUGGGAAACAUGGCUUUGGACAUAAAGCAUUUGCACUUUAUAAGAUGAUGGAACACGAAGGGUUAAGGCCGAAUGAUGUUACAUUCUUGACUCUUCUCUUUGCUUGUAGCCAUAGUGGAUUGACUGGUGAAGGAUCAGAAUGCUUUAAUAGUAUGGUAAAAGAGUACAACAUUUUGCCUAAACCAGAGCAUCUCUCUUGUAUAAUAGAUCUCUUUGCACGUGGAGGCCAGUUAGAAGAAGCCUAUAAUUUGAUAUGUGAGAUGAAAAUCAAACCUACUGCUUCGAUUUGGGGUGCCAUUCUUGGGGCAUCUAGCACCUAUUAUAAUUUAUCAAUUGGGGAAAUAGCAGCCAUUAAUCUUUUCAAAAUGGAUCCCAAGAAUUCAGUUAACUAUGUUGUUUUAGCUAGCUUAUAUGCUGCGUGCGGCCAAUGGGACAAUGCUUCCAAGAUGUGGAAUUUGGUAAAAGAUAGAGGUUUAAAGAAAGAUCCCGGAUACAGUCUUUUACAAGCUACAAAGAAGGAAAUUGCACUUUUGAAGCAUAGUUGAAAGUGGAGAACUAUCUCAUUUUAUUGCCCUUUGGGAGAUAGGGAGAUACUGAAACCUUUACCAUGCAGAACAGAUGCUUCAUAUGUUGAGGCCAUAAAGGAGUAGGGGAGGAUGCUCAAGCUCAGACUUUUGGUCCAUUGAUGCAUUCUCAGUUCACAGUCUUGUCGUCAACAUUCAGAUCCUUUGAGUUCUCGUGCUGUCUAUUGAUGCUAACUUCUCUUCUAUCUGAGUCUUCUCUCCUCUGUGAAUUAACAUGGAGUCACUGGGUGAUAUCUUGUCAGGCACCAAAGCAACAUUUAGCUUCAGCAUUCCUAUAACGGGUCUGACAAGUCUUUUUUUCAGAUUGAGGGAAGAGAGAAGAAUGCUUCCCGAUGGAAGAAAAAUAUCUCAAGUGCAAAACAAAUCCCAACUGCCCUGAUCUAUUGGAAUAAAGGCAAGUAGGAGCCUCAAUCAAGCUUUAGAUGCUUAGGGAGACCAUGUUCUGGUCAAUCUAAAAACAUGCUUAGUGCGUUAUUCUACUCGAACUAAUUGAAUUGGACAGAUCCAAGUACAACUGAUCGUGUUGACUCGAGAUCCUUCCCCAAACACUUGAUUUUCAGCCCCUUUCCCCAUGGAACCCUAGAUCAGAACGGUGACACAAACCAAGACUCUCUUCUCGCCCAAAUCACUCGAGGACACAGUUGCACAUCUUCGACCCCCAAGGAAUGUCGGAGCACCACCCAAGCUACCCAGAACCCGCCAACCAGGCACCCACUACCACCUCGCGCCAUUUCGCAGCUUGUGCCGCAGGUUCCUCUCUGUCAAUCAAGGCGUCUGUGAAACUGAAACGCUAAGUAAUGGC